UGCAGCGUGGCUCAGUGGAAAGAGCACGGGCUUGGGAGUCAGAGGUCAUGGGUUCGAAUCCCAGCUCUGCCA
rnacentral:tRNA from 1 species